rnacentral:rRNA from 1 species
UACGUAGGGUGCAAGCGUUAUCCGGAAUUAUUGGGCGUAAAGAGCUCGUAGGCGGUCUGUCGCGUCUGCUGUGAAAACUGGGGGCUCAACCCCCAGCCUGCAGUGGGUACGGGCAGACUAGAGUGCGGUAGGGGAGAUUGGAACUCCUGGUGUAGCGGUGGAAUGCGCAGAUAUCAGGAAGAACACCGAUGGCGAAGGCAGAUCUCUGGGCCGUAACUGACGCUGGAGGAGCGAAAGCAUGGGGAGCGAACAGG